ACCCACGAAGCUGAGGACGACUGGCAGGAAGACCAGGCCGUGCAACAGGCCCAGCAGGGUGAUGAGGAGGUUGAGGCGGAAGAAGAAGAUCUGGAUGAGCUGCGCCUUGGCCAGGCCCAGGACGAGGAUCCCCGGCAGCUGAUGCCCCACAGGGCCAUGAAGCCCACGGUGUCCACGAGGAUCAUGACGAUGGAGAACAGGUUGAGGAGGCCGGAGCGCAGGUCCAUGCCCAGCAGCAGGCAGCAGACGGCGAACGUGGGCAACAGGCACAUGGCAAGCAUGAAGAGGCCUUCGGGGACCACCGUCAGAGGGAAGAUCCAGAAAGGGAGACAAAACCCUGCAAGUAGUUCACCUGACAGGGCUGUGCUGUGGGUGACCCCUGGGCAGGUGCAAUAGCCAUUCACUUAACCAGGUCCCAAAUCCACGGAGGUGCUAUACGCUGCCAGUCCACUGCCAGAAAGAGCGAAGGCUUCAUCAAGGCCAUGGCCACACUCGGGGACCGUCCCCCGCCAGCACUCACCCCAGGCUUACCCUUUGGGACACUUGAUGUUGGGUGGGUCCUCCAGGAACCAGGGCAGGUAUUUGUGGAACUGGUCCACUGAUGGCCGGACGGGGCCCAGAGUGAAGUUCACACAGCUCUUCAAGCAGGCCAGGGAGUCUGCAAAGAGAGCGGGGGCUCUGGGCAGAGGCGUCACCCCCCCCGGCUCCAUUCCCACCAAGGUCCCCACAUACUUCCACCACCCAACAGCCAUGUGACACGUGUGGUCUGGAGGGGUCUGCCCUUGUCUCUGUAGGACAGGGCUGUGGAAACUGCUGGCAGCUGUAGGCAGGUGAGGAAGAGAUGUGCAGGGCAAAGAAACAACCCCCUUGGGCCUCCCCACUUCCCCUACAAGCGCAGCUGCUCUGGGACCAGAGCCACAUGCUAACCUGGCCCUCCACCACCCACCACCCUCGAGUGUUGGUGUGCCCAGAGAUCACCACUCAGGGGGCGCCUGCACAGUGGGGCGUGGUCACCCACACGUGUGCUCUGAGCCCACACCCCUACCCCAAUCGACCCUGCAAGUGGGCCUCGCCAGUCCGCUCCUCUCUUGCCUCAGUUUCCCCAAGCUGUGUUAGGUAGGCCAUGAGCCCCCAGAGGCCCUGCACUCACUAACGGUCGAGGGGCAGAAUUUGUCUUUGUUGGCACCAAAGGCAUACAGGCGGCAGCAAGAGGACGGGGUCAGCCAGUCAAUGAAGUCAUCCACCCAGGAAGAGGCAGGGAUGGCCAGGAGAAGCUGUCGCAUCCUGCGCUCGAGCAAAUGGCAUUCAUUCCCGCCUCGCUGGAGAAGUUGUAGCCUCCAGUGGUGACGAAGUAGACUGGAGCCCCCACCUCAAAGUAGCGGUUCAGAAAGAGGAAAUAGUCGAGCAGCACAGCCCACAGGCGUGUGCACGUGGAGACAGGCAGUGUGUCAGGCACCUGCAUGGCCUGUUCCUUUCUCCCAAAACCUCUGAGCACUGGAAGAGAAGAUGGGGUACGAGAAGCCAGGAGUCCACCCCCGCCCCCAACCUAGACACAACUGCACAACCCGUCUGAUGGGGUCUGCAGCCCUGGGGGCAGUUGAGGGCUCGCAGCUUCCAGGGAAAGGCCUGGAUGGUGAACUGUGCUUUGUGUCAACACCUUCAGCUCCCAGCACAUGCAGGUGUCCCAGGGGCAGUUUGUAUACCACUUGCGGAGUCCAGCAUGGGACAUAAGGACCCCACACUCUAUACAUGGCUGAUUUGCGUUCUGAUUGCCGGUCACUGAGCUUCUGAUCUCGGUGGUGCAGAGUCAGGCUGUACCGUGGUCUCCCCCACCUCCAGCUGGCCCGACUGCCAGGAUAUUUAAAUGGCAAGUGACUGGCUUAUUUUCCGCUUCAUGUUUCCCCUUUUUCUCCUUUGGGGAGCCAACCAUUUAAGGAAUAGGACAUUCAAACGCAAAUACCGAAGUCACCGCACAUUACCAGGGAAAGGCACAGGCUCAUCAGACUUUAAUUUUAUACCACAGGCUAAUCUCCCGGACACAGACACAGCAACGUCACAUUUGGGG